rnacentral:lncRNA from 1 species
UUCAACUCUUGAAUUUAUCAUUCAACAAUAUAUCAGGAUCAAUUCCUCAGUCAUUAUCAAAGCUAAUGGCAAUGACAAAAACGCAUAUGCCCGGACCUAUAACUACUAAUAGAUUUGAUUGGUACAUAGGUUGGGUAAAUUAUGAGUUCUUGUCUGCAGUGACGAAGCAUCAACAACACAAGUAUGCCGAAAAAAGUAUUUUUUAUAUUGUUGACAUCGACUUGUCUGUCAAUCAUUUAACCGGAGGAAUUCCAGAUGAAAUGGCUUCUCUUGACGGAUUGAGAUACUUAAAUUUGUCAAGGAAUUGCUUGAGAGGAAACAUUCCAAAGAAUAUUGGCGCUAUGGAAUUAGUGGAAUCAGUUGACUUCUCAUGGAAUAGUCUUUCUGGGGAAAUCCCUGCAAGCUUGUCAGACUUGACAUUUUUAAGUGUCUUGGACUUGUCAUAUAACAAUCUAUCAGGAAGAAUACCGUCUGGGCGUCAGCUUGAGACCGUCUACGACAACAACCCAACUAUAUAUGAUGGGAAUAAUAAUCUCUGUGGACCCCCUCUUCAGAGAAACUGCUCAUCAGGAAAUAGUGAUCCUAAGCAUGGUAAUGAACAGGCAAGCGGAGAGAAUUCAGAAUCAUUGUUCUUUUACUUCGGACUUGUAUCAGGGUUCGCAGUUGGCCUCUGGGGGGUGCUGUGUGCUCUACUCUUCAAGAAGCCAUGACGAAUUGCUUUUAUCCAGUAGCAUAUUUAUUGUUGUGUAAUCAUACAUCAUCAUUUGAAUUUGAGGCCGGCACUCUGUUGGGGUCGGAUAUAAUAAUAACAUGUGGGAUUGCAUGUGGUCAGCUUGCUGAACGGAGUUGCAUGUGGGAUCAGCGAGGUCGUACACCAUCAAUAACAUAGACGGCAUGCAUGGCUCGAAAGCCACGUCACCAGCAUUAUUUCUCGAACACGAAACCUAACCAUUAAUAAGGCUAGUAGGUUUAUGGAGAGUUUUAUCGCAUUAAAUUCGAUGUCACAUCAUCAAUUUUGCUGACAAAAUGAGAAGAGAGAAGGAAAGAGUUAUAUAGGGGAUGCGAGAGGAGUUUCAUCACCCUAAAACUCACGUGGCACAGUUACCUAGUUCAGAGGCGGGCUCAGGAUUGGAAGAUUGGAUAUUCAAAAAUUCAAAAUCUAUAAAAACUUAACUGUUUCAACACUAUUUUUUAGCAAAAAUAUUCUUAAAUACCAUUGAUUUGUAAAAAUAAUGGGCAUUUAGUGAAUACCUUUGAAUACCCUGAUCCGUCCCUAACCUGGUUCCCAGUCUUAAUAAGUGAAACAUAAACUGUACUGUAAAACUGUGCACUGAGACCGACGUAAGGAGGCAUGCAUAAUGUUUCUACCAUCCUUACUUGGUGGGUUCAUUCUUGCAUUGGUCAUGUCACGUCGGGAAGUUCCCUAAACCGGAGCAGCAGCCACCUUGCAUUUAUCAGUUUGUCGCCGUAUCAACAAGACAACGACGAUCGCGGAUGACGGAGCAGGAGGGAGGCAUGGGCUUUCAUCAGGCCAGGCAGGAACUCCUUCCUCCCUGUCUCGUCAAGACAGCAACAUUAGUGCCGUAUCGGUUUGCUAACCUCGGGGGACCAGGCUCAAAUAAGCGCAACGCGGCCCGCCCGUUGGGGUUGGAAGGAGGGAAACGGGCCUGAGCUUAACGCUGUUAAAAGCGCGAUUGCCCCGGGUUGGUUGGGGUGGACUAGGCGUGGGCUCUCUCUUAGCCCAUACCGAUGACAACAUCCGAAACUCUGGACCCCUCCCACGCAGCUGGGCUCCGUGUGCCGUGGAGCCUGCUUCUUCUUCUCGUGGGGGCAGCGUUGGGCUCGAUCCAGCCCUCCUUCCAACUCCACCCCCAACCCUUUUUGUUUUUUUUUCUCUAAGCUUGUACCACCUCAGGCCAAAUGGCCACAGUGCGGACAACAAGAGAUAAAGAUCUUUCACAGUAAAGCAAGAAAACAAACCUUGCCGGUGCAAGUUGUCCUCCACCUGAGUGCACUCAUAUGGUAGUAAAAGUGUUGGCGGAGCAACACCUCUAGCUCUUUCUCUAAAGGAGAAAAGAGAGCGCAUUCAUUCCUAAAUUGCUAUGAAUACAAGCGUGCGUGCGUUCAGUGGUAAUGCACGUUUCUCCAAUCUUUUCUCUACCAUGUGUACCAACGAUGUGAGUGUUGUGUGCGUUCUUGUAUGUACCCUUAAAAAGAUCCCCAGACAAUUUCAGAGACCUCUUUGCGGGGUGAUGCCAGCAGAGGAAUACGAGAUGCCCUUUUGAUCUCUCCGAACACCUGGUGGACGUGUGUGCAAAAACCAAGCCUAGCUAAGAUGCAGCGGCCGAACACAGUUGUGACGGCGCUGCCUUUUGUCCGCCACGCUAAUCCAACGAAGCAACUCCACUUAAAAGCCAUUCUAAAGCUUGACGACCAUAGGUAACGACCAGACACACUCAAACAGAUAUGCACAAAAAAAUGUGCUACCUCUGUUCUAAAAUAUAACAACUUUUUAACCAUCACUAUCACAAAAUAUAAAAACUUUUUAAUCAAGUUAAAGUUAAAUAUUUUCAUCUUUAACCAAUAAUAUCUCAAAAAAUAAUUACUUUUAAAUAGAAAAGGUUAUAUAUUGGUUUCAUUAUGAACAAACUAAUAUCACUUUUAUAUUAACAUUUAUAGCUCCAAAUAGAUUUAGUAUAAAAAUAUAUUACAUGAUUAGACUGUCUAAUGAUACUUACUGCAUAAUAUAAUUUUAAUAUUUAUUUUAUACAAACUAGAUCAAAUUUAAAAUUAUCUGACGUCUUGAAAAGUGUAAGUUGUAUUUUUUUGAACGGAAGGAGUAGGUAUUAAUGGAUCUUUCAAAAUACUGUAUCCGGGAACCAGCAUCUAGCAUGUAUUCAAUUUGCUUCACCCUGCUUGGUGCAUGCCUCCUUUUGCCGCUGUUGGAUUGGACAUCAGCUUGACCGGAUGAUCGCACUCUCCGAUCUUACCGAGCCUCGUCGUCCUUCUUCCUAGUGAACCCAACGAAGAAAUCGUAGCUAGUCAGUGUUGGUCAACCGAAUGAGAUUCCAUGUGGGCCCUGCAAGGUCUGAGCACUAACCUAACCUAAUCUGUGUUUUGUCGACGAUGGUCACAACCGUGUGCGGUGGGCCGUAUCUACGAACGCGCGCCGGCGCACGGCGUCGUUUUUGGGCCCAGCAUGCAAUUGGGCCAGGGAUUACAUUAGUGCCACAUCGAUUUACUAACCUCGGGGGACCAGCCGUGACGAAGCCCACGGCGCCUCGGGGUUGGAAGGGGCCGGGCGAUUGUGGAUCGCAGGUGGGCCGAACGCGCCAGCUCCGGCGCCGCGCCGCUCCGAUGCCUCCACCGUCACCCUCCACCACGGCCACCGCUAACCCGAACUUCUUCUUCAACUCCGGCCUAGCUGAUGAUGACACCGGAAACUCUGGGGAGCCUCCCACGCAGCUGGGGCUCCUGACCGAGGCAAUGCCGAUUUAAUGCAUGCUGGGAUCGCUGCCUAUAAUGGACGGCGACCGCUAACGCAUCCAAAUAGGCUUUGCCUCGGGAAAAGGCCUCCAUACCGUGGGCCUGCUUUCUUCUCGUUGGGCAGCGUUGGCCUCGACCCAGCCCCCUCCUUCCAACUCCACUCCCACUCUCCUUUUUUGUUUUUUUCCUCUAUCGGAGUCGUAGCCAUCUCCGGAUUUGCUUGGUUCCUGUUUGUGCGGUGACGUCAGGCUGCCGCGUCAGCGGCUCGUCUUUGUCUGCCGGCAUAAUUGUGCGUAGCUAGGGGCGACGCCACGUUAAGUCUGCCCAGGGUAAAAUUUUUUUUGCCACUAAUUAAACUUAAAAUUACCAUAUAAUUCUGAGAAGUUAUUUUAGUCCCUGAAGGAGUGCACCAUGGUCAAUUGGAAACUAGCUUCGCCCCUGUGCGUAGCGGACACGAGCUUGCGUAGAGCCAGCAAUGGAUCUCCUCAUCCUCAUUUCCCACGCUGCAACUUUCACUGGAUAUUUCCUUUCAAAAAAAAUUCACUGGCUACAGUGACCAGCAGGACAACGGUUCCAAGCUUCUCAGUAGAGAAUCAGUGUUGCGGUACACUGUCCUUUCUCCGUACUGUAUCCAGCUGAAAUGCUUCCAAAAUUCUAUUGUGACUUGUAUUUUUCCGAAUUUUCCUUAGUGGGCUGACGUUUUGUUGCCCAUUUGACACUCUUUUGCUAGAAUUUCAUAAGGAGGCCAAUUACUUGACGUGUUAGUGCAUUGUUGCAACCCACAAGCUCUUGUAUUUACCAUCCUUUACCACCUCUAGUUACAUUGUUGUAUGUGUGAUUAUUCAGUUUUAUGUGGACCAUACAUGGCAUUCCGGAACUUGUGGUCACUAGUCUUUAUUUGAAUAUUCAACCACGUAGUCAACUUGUGGUGACAACUACACUACCAAGUAAUUUUCAUUCUUGCCGUGUCAUAUAAUCUCGAUUAGUGCCAUUUUAUAGUCUACUAAAUAGGUUUGGGCGAGCUCACAUGCACCCACACCAAAUGCAAAAUCAACAAGCAAAUUUUCACCAUGUAUAAUGAUCAAAUUCUCCUAAAAAAUCAUAUAACGAUCAAAUUCAUAAACCCACGAGGCAAGCGCACCCCCUUCUAAUUUGCUCUAACUUCACCAUUUGCAGGGUUACAAAUCUUUAUGAUCCAAAAGCAGUACCUACGUCUGUGGUCGUGAGAUCAAGGUCUACCAGUCCAAUCUCCUACAAGCAUUUAUAGAUGUGAGUAUAACUGACUGCGUGAAGAUCCCUGCUAUGAUCAUUUAUAAAAAAAGUAUUUAACAAACUUAUCUUCUCCGCGUAUGUGUGAUGGGAAAACGCUGUCUAAUUGGAACCCCAUUUUUCCUUGUGUUUUCCAGCCAUGCAUGCUAGGUGUUACGUCGUUGUUAGUUGUUACUCAGUUUAUGUGGACCGCAACGUCUUAUUCCACAACUUUAUGUGGUCACCAGCCUUUGAAAAUUCUCCCACAUGCUCUUCAGUCAAUGAAGUUUGCUAGAUCUUUGGAUCGCAGCAGGAAUUUAAGAGCACACACAGCUCAGACCUUCGAGCACUCUACUAGCAGAUAGCUUUGCUCAUUGCCAGGUACUGCAUGCACAGACCACACCACUUGCUAUGCAUCCCUCCGCUGCCAAGUUCUUGCUUCUUCUCGUGGCCGCCGCCUCGAGCUUCUUGUCGGUGGCAUCGCAUGGACUGCCGCCGCGGCAGCUCAAGCGGAACGCGAGCUGCGUGCCGCACGAGAGGGACGCGUUGCUGGCCUUCAAGGAAAACAUCACCAGCGACCCUGAAGGCAUCCUCUCGUCGUGGCGACGAGGGCGGAAGGACUGCUGCCGGUGGAUGGGCGUCACCUGCAGCAACCAAACCGGCCAUGUCCUCGAGCUUGAUCUAAGCUAUAGAAAUUUGGCAGGCCAGAUAAGUCCUUCCUUACUGUCUCUAGAGCAUCUGGAGCACUUGGAUUUAGGCGGCACAUACUUAUCUGGUCAUGAUGGUCGUUUUCCCGAAUUCCUGUGUUCUUUCAAAAACUUGCGAUAUCUCGACCUCUCGUUCUUGUCGUUUGCGAGCAGACUGCCUGCUCAACUUGGCAACCUUUCCACACUGGAAUACCUUUACCUCAAUGACGCAUACUCUUUGCCGAGUGAGGUGCCGCCUCAGCUCGGUAACCUCUCAAACCUGCGACAUCUUGGUCUCGCUUAUAAUUAUUUGUACACAACCGAUAUCUCAUGGUUAGUUCGUCUUCAUCAGCUUGAGUAUCUUGAUAUGGCAGGCAUAAAUCUAAGUACAAUAGAUAAUUGGCUUCAUGUGGUAAACAUGAUUCCAUCUCUGAAGUCUCUCUCCCUUAGGAACUGCUCCCUUCCCAGAGCAAACCAAUCGCUCACUCACAUAAACCUCACAAAACUUGAGAUGCUUGUUUUAUCCAAGAACUACUUUGGGCACCCAAUUGCAUCCAGUUGGUUUUGGAACAUAACAAGCAUUCAACAACUCGAGCUAUAUUCAACCUAUCUUUACGGUCCUUUCCCUGAUGCACUAGGACGAAUGACGUCCCUCUCUUACCUGGGAUUUUGGGAAAAUGGAAACUCAGCCACGAUGGCAGUAGACUUGAAAAAUCUAUGUGAAUUGGAUACUCUGUUGCUCGAUGGGAGCCUAUCAUCUGGGAACAUAACAGAGUUCAUAGAGAAGUUGCCACAAUGUUCUUCUAGCAAAUUACAGCACCUAAAUUUGAAUGACAAUAAUAUGACAGGAAUAAUGCCACACGUAAUGGGGCACUUAACCAGCUUAGCUGCUCUUAGCCUAUCUAACAACAGCAUUAGUGGAUCUAUAUCACCAGGGCUACAGAAUUUCACUAGUUUGGAGGAAUUAUUUCUCAGUUCCAACCACCUUAGUGGCCAGAUACCAUUGCUGCCAAGAGGCCUUGUCUGGGCAUUUUCACUUCGGAGCUCCAAAUAUUAAUGUACUAAUUCUAUCCUCUAAUAAAAUUACUGGUCCCAUUCCUGAAAAGUUUUGUGAGUUGCAAUAUCUAAGUGACUUGGAUUUGUCAAACAAUUCUUUCGCGGGAGAACUUCCUAUAUGUUCUUCGAUGCCAUACCUACACUCCUUGCUCCUAAGUAACAACGAAUUUUCUGGAAAGUUCCCAUCCUUGAUCCAAAGCCUCUCCAAUCUAAUUUUGCUUGAUCUUUCAUGGAACAAAUUCUAUGGGACAUUACCAACAUGGAUCGGACAUCUGGCAAAGCUGCGAUUCCUAGAUCUGAGCCACAACAUAUUAUAUGGGAGUAUUCCAGUGAAUAUCACACAUCUUAGACAACUUCAACUCUUGAAUUUAUCAUUCAACAAUAUAUCAGGAUCAAUUCCUCAGUCAUUAUCAAAGCUAAUGGCAAUGACAAAAACGCAUAUGCCCGGACCUAGAACUAAUGGACUUGAUUGGUACUGGUACGUACCUUGGGUAAAUAGUGAGUUCCUAGAUAUUAUGUCUGCAGUGACGAAGCAUCAACAACACAAGUAUGCCGCAGAAAGUAUUUUAUAUAUUGUUGAUAUCGACUUGUCUGUCAAUCAUUUAGCAGGAGGAAUUCCAGAUGAAAUGGCUUCUCUUGACGGAUUGAGAUACUUAAAUUUGUCAAGGAAUUGCUUGAGAGGAAACAUUCCAAAGAAUAUUGGCGCUAUGGAAUCAGUGGAAUCAGUUGACUUCUCAUGGAACAGUCUUUCUGGUGAAAUCCCUGCAAGCUUGUCGGACUUGACAUUUUUAAGUGUCUUGGACUUGUCAUAUAACAAUCUAUCAGGAAGAAUACCGUCUGGGCGUCAGCUUGAGACCGUCUACGACAGCAACCCAACUAUGUAUGAUGGGAAUAAUAAUCUCUGUGGACCCCCUCUUCAGAGAAAUUGCUCAUCAGGGAACAGUGAUCCUAAGCAUGGUAAUGAAAAGGCAAGCGGAGAGAAUUCAGAAUCAUUGUUCUUUUACUUCGGACUUGUAUCAGGGUUCGCAGUUGGCCUCUGGGGGGUGCUGUGUGCUCUACUCUUCAAGAAGCCAUGAAGAACUGCUUUUAUCCAGUAGCAUAUUUAUUGUUGUGUAAUCAUACAUCAUCAUCUUAAUUUGAGGCCGGCACUCUGUUGGGGUCGGAUAUAUUAAUUGGAUUACGAAUCGCACCGUCUGUUUUCACUCACGGCUUACAGAUCGUGCUCUCUUGCGAAACCAAGCAAGCAGUGGCUGGUGGGGCGAACUACUCUGCCAAGGUCCCUUCAGAUCUAAGGCGAGGAGGAAGAGCGGACGAGGAGAGCGAGGCGUGCGUAGUAGGCUAGUAUUGCCAGUCAAUGUUGGUCAGCUUGCUGAAUGGAAUUGCAUGUGGGAUCAGCGAGGUCGUACACCAUUAAUAACAUAGACGGCAUGCAUGGCUCGAAAGCCACGUCACUAGCAUUAUUUCUCAAACACGAAACCUAACCAUUAAUAAGGCUAGUAGGUUCACGGGGAGUUUUAUCGCAUUAAAUUCGAUGCUAUAUCAUCAACUUUGCUGU